GGCAGCUCGCUCUGGGAGCCUAGAAUGCAUCAGUGCCCUUGUGGCGAAUGGGGCUCACGUCGAGUUGCAUCUGUAAGAUAACGCAUUUCAGCUGCUGUGCAUCGUAUUAAAUUUUCUAGCACCACACG
rnacentral:sRNA from 1 species